AGAGGCCCUUCAUGGCUGUGGUGGAAUGCUUGCCUCGUCGCUGCAGCGAUGAAGCAAGCAUUCCACCAGGCCAUUCAUGCUGCCUGC
rfam:Myotis davidii contig148271, whole genome shotgun sequence.